rnacentral:rRNA from 1 species
GAGUUUGAUCCUGGCUCAGGAUGAACGCUGACAGAAUGCUUAACACAUGCAAGUCAAUGGGGAAACGGUGCUUGCACCGCGAUAGCCAUGGCGGACGGGUGAGUAACGCGUAAAGAACUUGCCUCUUAGUCUGGGAUAACAGAUGGAAACGACUGAUAAGACUAGAUACUAUUAAAGUUUCGCAUGAAACUUUAAUGAAAAGAGAUGCUAAGAGAGAGCUUUGCGUCCUAUUAGUUAGUUGGUGAGGUAACGGCUCACCAAGACGAAGAUAGGUAGCCGGUCUGAGAGGAUGAACGGCCACAAGGGGACUGAGAUACGGCCCUUACUCUUACGGGAGGCAGCAGUGGGGAAUAUUGGACAAUGGAGGAGACUCUGAUCCAGCAAUUCUGUGUGCACGAAGACGGUUUUCGGAUUGUAAAGUGCUUUCAGCAGGGAAGAAGCAAGUGACGGUACCUGCAGAAGAAGCGACGGCUAAAUACGUGCCAGCAGCCGCGGUAAUACGUAUGUCGCGAGCGUUAUCCGGAAUUAUUGGGCAUAAAGGGCAUCUAGGCGGAUAUACAAGUCAGGGGUGAAAACUUAGGGCUCAACUCAAAGCUUGCCUUUGAAACUGUAUAUCUAGAGUGCUGGAGAGGUGGACGGAACUACACGAGUAGAGGUGAAAUUCGUAGAUAUGUGUAGGAAUGCCGAUGAUGAAGAUAGUCCACUGGACAGCAACUGACGCUGAAGUGCGAAAGCUAGGGGAGCAAACAGGAUUAGAUACCCUGGUAGUCCUAGCUGUAAACGAUGAUUACUGGGUGUGGGCAUGAAGAGUGUCUGUGCCGAAGCAAAUGCGAUAAGUAAUCCGCCUGGGGAGUACGACCGCAAGGUUGAAACUCAA